UUCAGAGUGGCUCAGUCACUAGAGCAUGAGACUCUUAAUCUCAGGGUCAAGGGUUUGAAUCCCAUGCUGGGCAAAA